UACGGAGGGGUGCAAGCGUUAUCCGGAUUCACUGGGUUUAAAGGGUGCGUAGGUGGGAAAGUAAGUCAGUGGUGAAAUCUCCGUGCUUAACACGGAAACUGCCAUUGAUACUAUUUUUCUUGAAUUUUCUGGAGGUCAGCGGAAUAUGUCAUGUAGCGGUGAAAUGCUUAGAUAUGACAUAGAACACCAAUUGCGAAGGCAGCUGGCUACAGGGAUAUUGACACUGAGGCACGAAAGCGUGGGGAUCAAACAGG
rnacentral:rRNA from 1 species